CAUGGAAAGGGCAGAAGGGCCCAAUACAUAGGGAACCCUACCAUGAACAGUACAUCUGUCGGACAGGAUUAUGAAGUCCUUUACCGAAAAAGUUUGGGAGAUAUGGUUUACUCUCAUACCAGACGUGGUAUCGAGGAGAUGGAAUAUUUAGCGCUCAUUAUUGGAUGGGGUAUGGGGACAACCAGUUUAAUCAUUAAAAUUGGAUGUUAGGUUCACAAGCAGAGAAACAUCCCUAUGGACCCUCAUGAGGUACUAAUAAGCCAGUAAGAAAGAAAUUUGUUGUCUCUUGUUCUCUCAUGCGUGAAAAUGAAAAGUGAUAUUGAU
rnacentral:lncRNA from 1 species